UUUCAACCUUUCUACCUGAAGGGAAGAACUUUAUACAAAUAUUAAUUUUUCCAUGUUGUUCAAAUACAAGGAAAUAUAGUGAUUUGUAUAUAUUAUUUUUCACCGGUGAAUAUUUAUUACCUCAAUCUAGUCUGUAUUGGUUGUAUGAUUUGAUCUCUUGAAUUGGUAUUUUUCUUUCAACUAACUAGACCAAAGUUAAGGGGAAUAACUCUUUAAAUCAGUAAGACGUUUGCAAUAGUCAGUUUCAUCCAGACUUUUGAAACAUUCAUUUGAAGCAGAAUUCUUAUGAAAAACUUCCAAGUAAUUUGUUAGAGUUAUUCCCCCUUAACCUAAGUAUCCCUUCUUGAGCCAUACACAUGUACAUGAUGUAUAUCAUAUUGCCAUUUAUUGUGAUUUAUAAAAGUAAAUAUUUGAUUUAAAGAUUUAUUUAAUACUAGCAUUUGAUUAAUUAUAGAGGUAAAAAAGUCAUCAUUAGUUAAUAUACUAUGUCUUUCCUCAAUAUUGAUGGGAUACCAAUUUUCAAUUUUUGACUUAAACAAGAGGUCCAUUUGGGUAGAUUUCAUGGAAAAAAAGGGGGAGGGGUAAAUUAUUGAAUUUGGUUCAAUCAACGAGAAGGAAAAAAUUAUAAAUAAUAGAUAAGAAUUCUAUUCUAGCUUCACAUGUAUCCUAAAGUAGGUACCAUCAAAAUAGUAAAACAGUCUUCAACCACAAAAUUAAAUGCCAGUAGCUCAAUGUUAUGGAUCUUUUUCUUUAUAAAGCUCCUCAAGAAGAAGGAAAAAUUGAGGCAGUGCAAUUGAAACAGCAACCAAAUAACAUUUCAUACAUUUUUUAUAAUGAACAUUACACUUUAUAAAGUUUAUUCAUUUUCCUGUAUUAACUCUUCAGAAACAAAACAUUUGAAAGCUAAAGAUAAAUAAAUACAUGAAAAAGUUACGAGUAAUAAUAAAUAUCAAUUGGAAAGUUUCCAACUGUGUGGGAAUUUCCUUAUUUUCACUAAUUUAUCAUAGUAGAUAUUCAUGGAAAAAUUUCAAAGGUUCUGUAAUGUUUGACUUUAUUGCAAG
rnacentral:lncRNA from 1 species